AUGAAGAACGUAGCGAAAUGCGAUACUUGGUGUGAAUUGCAGAAUCCCGUGAACCAUCGAGUCUUUGAACGCAAGUUGCGCUUGAAGCCAUUAGGCUAAAGGCACAUCUGCUUGGGCGUCACGC
rnacentral:rRNA from 1 species